UACGGGGGGCAAGCGUUGUUCGGAAUUACUGGGCGUAAAGGGCUCGUAGGCGGCCAACUAAGUCGGACGUGAAAUCCCCAGGCUCAACCUGGGAACUGCGUCCGAUACUGGAUGGCUUGAAUUCGGGAGAGGGAUGCAGAAUUCCAGGUGUAGCGGUGAAAUGCGUAGAUAUCUGGAGGAAUACCGGUGGCGAAGGCGGCAUCCUGGACCGACAUUGACGCUGAGGAGCGAAAGCUAGGGGAGCAAACGGG
rnacentral:rRNA from 1 species